CUAUUCACUACUAAGCACAGCUUAUAUACCUUUACUUAAGCUAUCGUGCCCUGUCCUGAUUUGUCUGUACUGGAUCUAACCCCUUACCACAAUUCCUUAUUUGGCUCCUAUUGUCUCCUCAUUCCUUCGCCUUCUUAUCUUGUUUACUACAUUAACAAGGACAGUCUGUCUGAGCACAACAGCACCCUUUCACUAUGCUUAGGGAGAGGCCUAUCCCAUACGGCACGUAUCCCCGCAAAGCACCUACUACAACAGACUACAUUGGGGAAUAUUUGGGAUUUGGGCCAAAGGGCACACAGAGUAAUCACUUAUCCCUUGCCAAGCAUCAGUGCACAACCAGUGCACAAACACAGGAAGACAUGUAAGCCCCAUCGAAUCUGGUAGUGGAGUCUCCAGUCCAACAAGAAAAGAAGAAACAUUGGCAUGUGGUACCAAACAACAUGGGUUAGGAUGAAAUAAAUGUAAUUCCAGACACCCCAAAUUAUACAGGACACUCACACGAUAGCUGUAGUGGAGCCUACAUCUUCAUUUUCCAUCACACUGGGUCAAAGAACAUCAGUUUACAUUUCACUUGGUGUAUCUCCAAAGAGGCAUUGACAGGCAACAUGAAACACAAGAAAACAGAGAAGAGUACCACCGCAUAACAAGAAGACACGUUACUGAACCUAAAAAGAAAGAACACCACCAUGUUGACAGGGAGCAACAGAAGGCACUGACAUCCAGCAGUACUGGAGAGCCCUAAGCCAGCUGGUGUGGGGACAGACCAGGUGAGUGAUGGUCGAGCCGGAGUUGGACUCCAUCAGGGAACAUUUGGACUUGGCAAGCACAGGGAGAUUGCAAAGCGCCAGGUGGCAAGGAGAGAAAAGGAAUGUGCUGCUGAUGGAUGUGAGAGGCAGUGCCAGCGGGGCGUCCCCCGCUUCAAGGGGCACUUCUCCUGUCUCACCCAGGGCAGCCUCUCUCCCCAUUUCUUUUGGUUGGAUUCUGAAGGCUUUGAUCCAUUGACACACCACAUCUGCCUGGCCAGAGCGAGACAUGGAGGCCAAAGGGAGCUCCUGCUUGGAAAUGGAGAGUGGGAAAGCCAAGUGAGCACAAGCGAAAACCAACAACAAGCCCAUAGGACCUCUGCAAGCAUUGGAAUGACCUCAGGGGACAACAGAGCUUGCCAGACAGAGGAAGGAAUAGAUAUUGGCAUCCAUUUACGGGUGUGGGUUCUCGCUGUGUCCACCAAGAGCCUCAGUAGAGUCCUUGCACUGCUCAGCAGGGUCACAACUCUCCAGUGCCACCUUAUGAACACAAGAAAAGGUAAGUAGAGAUUACCUUCUAGUGAGGAUGCAGGAAUCACUCACCCCUUUCCAAGGAUCAGGGCACAUCCCACACUGCAAUCAAGGAGGUCAGGGAAGGCAUCACCAUGUGGUGGGUAAGUCUCCAA
ensembl:lncRNA